AAGAUCAAUUGUAAAUAUUGCUGGGCUACAAAUUUUGCAAAAUAAAGUAUAUUAAAUGGCAUAAAAACCUAUUAUUCUACCAAUACUCAACUUUGCAAAAAUAUUUAUUUAUUUUGAGUUACUAUAUCAAGAUCAAUUGUAAAUAUUGCUGGGCUACAAAUUUUGCAAAAUAAAGUAUAUUAAAUGGCAUAAAAACCUAUUAUUCUACCAAUACUCAACUUCGCAAACAAUUUUAAUAGAAUAUUUAAUUAU